CAAAUUAGAGCUUGAUAUAAGUAUUUCAUUUACAUUGAAAGGAAAUUGGUAUAAACAAUUAAUUUGA
rnacentral:tRNA from 1 species